ACAAAAUUUAUAAAACUAAUCCGUUUUGUAAAGAAAUUCAAAGAUUGAAUUCUGCAAAAGGUUGAAUUCAUUGUAUUGUCCUGUAAUCCCACAGUUUAGAAAUGAAUUAUAAAAGGAUGUAUAUUCAACGUAAAAUUUAUUUACCAUAACAACUACAUGUUUCUUUUCUCUUGUUUUUUGUAUGACUAUUUUAUGUUUCAUAUAUAUAUAUAUAUAACAAGUUACUCCUGCAUACAACAAUAAUUAAAACAUAAGGUGGAGUUAAUCCUAGGCAAUGGCUUCUUAUGUCUAUCAAACUCGUUUUUUCUGGAUUUUGUGCUUUGCUUUAGUUUUGCUUUCGGGUUUCGCAACUUGUUUGGGUCCUGUGGGUCCUCCAGGACUAAAAUGCUCUGGGAAAUGCAUUGAUGGACCAACAUGCAAUAAAUCUUGCAUUGACCAAGGCAAUAAGAAUGGUGGGGUAUGUUUAGGUGCUACUCCUAAAACUAUGAUUUGUUGUUGUAGAAAAUCAAAAUUGAACUUCAUCAUUUAAGUUAAUGGAAGUAGUUUUUCUGUCUUUUGUUUUGAAACCAUCGUGUAGUACGAUAGAAUAAAAUUUGAAUUUAUAUA